rnacentral:rRNA from 1 species
AACGAACGCUGGCGGCAUGCCUAACACAUGCAAGUCGAACGAGACCUUCGGGUCUAGUGGCUCACGGGUGCGUAACGCGUGGGAACCUGCCCUUAGGUUCGGAAUAACUCCCCGAAAGGGGGGCUAAUACCGGAUAAUGUCUUCGGACCAAAGAUUUAUCGCCUUUGUAUGGGCCCGCGUUGGAUUAGCUUGUUGGUAGGGUAAAAGCCUACCAAGGCGACGAUCCAUAGCUGGGCUGAGAGGAUGAUCAGCCACACUGGGAGUGAGACACGGUCCAGACUCCUACGCGAGGCAGCAGUGGGGAAUAUUGGAAAAUGGGCGAAGGCCUGAUCCAGCAAUGCUGCGUGAGUGAUGAAGGCCUUAGGGUUGUAAAGCUCUUUUACCCGGGAUGAUAAUGACAGUACCGGGAGAAUAAGCUCCGGCUAACUCCGUG